CACAUCAUAGAUCACACACACUCACACCUACACGGUUUAUGGAGGUUGUCGUCGUCCGCUUCCUGGUUGUUGAGCUUUAUAAGCUCCUUCAGUUCGCUGUGUGGGUGUGGAGGUUUAGCUCAGUGGUUACUUCUGAAACGCUCACUGUUCCUCUAGCCCGCUGGUCCUCAGGGGCCAGGGGUUCAAACCGCGGGCGCUGUCCUCUGCUUUUUAAUCCCUCCUUCACUCCUGGAUCAACUACGGAAGACAAUGUGUGCCAACGGGACUCUUGCUUCCAACACCAUCCGUCCGGCUCCACUGGGUGAGAAGGUGGCUGGGUGCAGGUGGAGGCCCCCGUCGGCUCCUGGAUGCUGGAUAACAUCCACUGUGACGGGUCAGCUCUCUGGAGGUUAACCGACCAGCGGCUUCAACAACUGGAGCCGCUUUGCAGUCAGAGUGGCCCCUGGAGGGGCGCAGCAGGUUCUCUCAGUUCCUCGUUGAUGUCCUCGGCACAGAGACCCUCACUUCACCCCGUGAGCUGGACCGGGCGCACCGGAGCCUCGCACCCAAACCUGCGCCGGGAGGCAGACCACAAAGACUAGGUGAUCCGCGGGGCUCGCAGACCAGGUGAUCUGACCUACAAAGGUUAUUUAUUUAUUUAUGUUGUUUAUCUUUUGUCUGUUUGUCUGUAUCUGUGUGCUGCUCCUGCAGCUUGGCAUGCUCUGUCUGCUCAGGCGCCACGCCCUCUUUCAUCACGCUGCUGGCUCUUGGGCAGGGGGCGCCGGUCAUGGGGGUGGAGGUGUACUGGUACAACAUCCACCCAGGCCCCCUAAUAUCACUGUAUGUUUAGUUCUAACUCCUUGACAACACCUAGGGGUGCUUUAAGAUUCAGUAGUUGGAAUGUCAGGGGGUGAACUCUCCUGUAAAGAGGUACACAGUGCUUAACCAUCUGCAACAGCUAAACACUAGAAUGGCCUUUCUACAGGAAACUCAUCUGCAGCCAUCAGAUCACCUCUACGGAGCGGUGGGUAGGCCAGCUCUACCACUCCUCCUUCUCAAGUUAGGCUCGUGGUGUUGCAAUUCUUGUCCAUAAAUCAGUCCCGCUUUCUGUAUCCAAGGUCAUAUCAGACCCCAAUGGGCGCUUUGUUAUCAUUUCAGGGAAAAUUUAUGGCAACAAUGUGACUUUGGCGAAUGUGUAUGGUCCAAAUUGGGACAAUGAGGAAUUUUUCAAAACCUUUUUUUUCUCCCUCCCUGAUUUACAUUCCUGCCAGCUCAUCCUCGGUGGUGACUUUAACUGUUGUCUUGAUCCCUCACCUGACCCCCUGUUUCCAUCCAGGGGGUCCCUGUGGACACUGUGGAGGAGUAGAAGUACCUGGGGGUGUACUUCAGUAAUAAGUUGGACUGGACCAGAAACACUGAGGCGGUCUACAAAAAGGGCCAAAGCCUCUUUUUCCUAAGGAGGCUGAGGUCCUUUAACAUCUGCCGGACGAUGCUGAGGAUGUUCUAUGAGUCUGUUGUGGGCAGUACGAUCUUCUUCACUGUCACAUGCUGGGGCAGUGGGCUGAGGGUCGCUGACAACAACAGACUAAACAAACUGAUCAGGAGGGCCGGUGAUGUCGUGGGGGAGGAGCUGGACACCCUGACGACCGUGGCAGAGAGGAGGAUGCUGUCCAGGCUUCAGUCCAUCUUGGACAAUGUCUCUCACCCUCUCUACGACACACUGGCCCAGCAGAGGAGCACCUUCAGCAGAAGACUCCUCUCACCCAGACGCACCACAGAGCGCCACAGGAAAUCAUUCCUGCCUGUGGUCAUCAAUCUCUACAACGCCUCCCUCAGAGAGUCAGACACCCCCCCUCUGUAAUCUGACCUCAAACACAGACAAACACUUCUUCACUUUUUGCACAUUUUACCUUAAUAUAUAUUUAUACAUAUGUUCUUAAUAUAUUAAAUGUAUAUACGUUGUAUGUAUAUCUGGAGUUGUAACAAAAGUAAUUUCCCCCUGGGAUUAUUAAAGUAUUUCUGAUUCUGAUUAGUUAAAUUAAAAUGCAAACUGCUAAUUCAGAGUGAUAUUCAACAUAAAAAGGACUUUAUUGAUGUUGAUGCGUCAGAAAAAGGCGACAAAUAUGAACAGGAUUUUAUUGUUUUUUCCUCCACAUUCAGCUCAGCCACAGAUCGAUCUACACAAAGCUUAUUCCACAGCUCAGUGUUCACUAUGUCUGCCACACAUGUACAUCUAAUGCUGACCAUUAAAAUAUCUAACGCACGGAGCCGGAGGCGAGGGAUUGGUUGCAGAAGCAAACACUACGGAGCACA